rnacentral:lncRNA from 1 species
AAAGAGAAAAAUUCAGACUAUCAAGAAAAAAGGUAUCAAUAUGAUCUUAUCCCCUGACGCCCAAAUUCGACCAUAUAUUUAGUGCACUUUAAGCUUAUCUAAUUUAGAAAUUCUCUAGAAUUUAUUCUCUUGUAUUUUUGCAUUCUCUUUGCAUCAUUCCAUUGGAUUGUUAACUGACGACCCAAAAGUACAUUGUUUCACCUUAUCAAGGCGUUGCAUGUAGUAAAUACCAUCCCCCUUCACAAUUACUCUCUCCGUUCCAAAAUUAGAGUUACAUUUCUUUUUUUGUCCAUUCCAAAAUAAGAGAUACAUUUCUAUUUUUAGACCAUAAAGUGACAUGAAGUUCCAAACAUGUCAUUACUUUUAUUAUUAGUUGAUUGAGUACUGAAAAUUUAUUUUUUUUUCUUAGAAGUCGUUGUUUUACAAUUAUCUCUUAUUUGUGGAACAGAUGGAGUACUUCAUUUUGCAAUAAUAUGCCAUUGGACAUUGUGGCUUUUAUUAUUAUCUACAUUUAUCAAAAAAAUUAUUAUUUGCACUAUAUUCUGAUUUUUUUCCUCUAAAAGCUGAGAUCAGAGUUCUUUAAACUAACUUAUUCUGAAAGUUCACGGGAAAUCGUUGAAUGAAGGGCCUCAUAAUGAGUUAGAACAGGUCAAUGUGUCAUUCCAAUAAGUUGAUAUUGGAAACAAGGUCUUGUACCUGCAGAAAGCCGAAAGUGAUACAUGAGACAGGUCAGGUGCAUACUUUCUGCUGAAGGUCAGGCCGCGCCAGGAUAGUUGAACUUUCCCUGUUUAAUAUAUACACGCAUAUUUGACAAUCUCAAUAAUUAAAUAUGCAUCAUUGCUUGUACAUGAGCAUUUUGGAUAAUCGUGUUCUAAAAAUUGGUAGGCGUCAGCAGAAGAGGCGCCUAGCGCCUAUCAUAGGCAGAUUAAGUGUUUUCUAACGUGAUCUCAUUUAUUUAUUUUGUAUUGUAUAUACUUGAUAUAAUAUACAAAGCAUACAAUGAAUGUAAUUAUUUAAAAUUUUACAUGAAAAUUAUGCAUAAAAACACUCUUUUAAAGCUUAACAGAUGAUUUCAAGUAGUGUAGAGCUUCAAAGACUUUAUUAAACCGAUGCAGUAGAUGUUUGAUUUCUGGUUAGGGGGAGGGGGGGGAGGGGGGGUUAGGCGUUGAGGCGAUAGAGGACCUCCUAGAGCUUAGGUGAGGAUUAAGCGGACUUAGGUGGGGAUUUUUAAAAUACUAUUGAAUAACAAUCUGUCUAAAAGAAUUUUUUGUUAUACAUAUUUAAACUUUUUACUGAUGAAGUAUGUAUAAUUUGUAUAUGGGCUUCAUAGCUUGUUUACAAGGAUUCUAUAUCAUUCUAACUACUUUUCAGUUGGGUGCUUUUUGCAACUGUUAUCGUCCAUUCUUAGUGACUUGUACGUGCGGACAAAUUCAAGCAUUAACAGUUGCAUCUCUGCUCGGGGGCGAAUCAACACAAUUUUAAAGGUCAUUAUCAACGUUCGAAAAAGUGUUCGAGGCGCGCGCCUCAUAGCGAGGUGGUCGCUUCACUGGGAACUAACGAGUCUUACGCCUUAUUUGGCUGAGGCUUACGCCUCAGGGCGUUGCGCCUCGAGGCGUGAACCUUGAUUUGGCUUAAAAAAAGCCUAAGUAUAAUAUCAAAUCAAUCGAAGGCUCGCGAGACCUCACCAGGUAAGUACCGAGUACCGACUGCAGUUCUUCCGUCAAUUGAAGGUUUCGUGCAAGGCGACGUUGACUACACCAGGUUUUUUCUUCUUCCUCUCCUCUUCUUCUUCCUCUUCUUCCGUCUUCUUCUUCUUAUUCUGACUCUAUCUUCUUCUUCUUUUUUAAUUUAUGUAAUUUUUGGGGGUCUAAAUAUUGUUACCCAGUGACUUUUUUUGUCAUGUACCUUCAUCGAUUAAACAUGUAUAUGGUUUACAUUGGUGCAAUUUGUAAGUCGGACCAAACUGGAAUCAAGACCAAUUUUUUUUGGGUAUAUUAUACUGGUGAUUGUGUCAUGGUGUCCUGUACCUUCAACAAUUUUUUUUUGUAUCUCUUUACAAAUUACAAUCAUAAGGAGGAUAUUGUGCAAUUUGUAUAUUUUGUAACAUUCCAUUUAGUUUAUGAACUUGUGUUCAUCAUCGAGUAUUCCAGUGUUUGAAGGUGAA